GGACCGGCGAAAUCCUGUCUGAAACUGGCGGCACCAUCCGCUAAGGCUAAAUACUCCUGAGAGACCGAUAGCGAAGUAGUACUGUGAAGGAAAGGUGAAAAGGACCCCAAGAAGGGGAGUGAAAAGACCCUGAAACCGUACGCCUACAAGCGGUCGGAGCUGCACUUCGGUGUAGUGACGGCGUGCCUUUUGCAUAAUGAGCCUACGAGUUACCUUGACAAGCGAGUUUAAGCCCUUCAGGGGCGAAGGCGAAGCGAAAGCGAGUCUUAACAGGGCGAGAGCUUGUUGAGGUAGACGCGAAACCGAGUGAUCUACCCAUGGGCAGGUUGAAGUUCCGAUAAUAUCGGAAUGGAGGACCGAACUGGUAAACGUUGAAAAGUUUUCGGAUGACCUGUGGUAGGGGCGAAAGACUAAUCAAACUCGAGAUAUCUCGUACUCCCGAACUGCAUUAGGUGCAGCGUCGCCAAGAGUGUGUCGGAGGUAGAGCUACCAAUAGGCUAGGGGGCGUUCACCGCCUACCAACCCCUCGAUGAACUCCGAAUGCCGACAC
rnacentral:rRNA from 1 species